rnacentral:tRNA from 1 species
AGUAAGGUCAGCUAAAUAAGCUAUCGGGCCCAUACCC